CUCUUUUCUUCUUCUUUUUCAUUUCUUCCUUCUUCUUAUCUUCUGUUCUUCUUCUUUCCUUCUCAGUCGAGCUCAGUUCAUAGGAAUUGAGUUGUUUUCGUGUGAGUUGUUCUUAGGAACUUGUUAGUAACAUGAAUCGAAGAUGAGGGAGAUGAUUCUGAAGUUGUUUGGACAUGGGAGAAUAAGGAGUGAUGUUGUUGAAUCAAAUUUGAGUUCUGUUUUUGAGAUGAAUGAGAGAUUAAGAUGGGUUUUGAGAUCUAAAGAAGAUGAUGAAGAUUAUGGAAGUGUUGCUGAGAGGGAUUUUGAUUGAAUUGGUGAUUUCAACUUCACAGGAAAGUUUCAGUAUUCAGAAGAAAAGGCGCAGUGAAGAUAUUCGUUUCUGUAACGUAAAGUUUUCAGCGAAGUGAAGAUAUUUAUAUAUGUUUUAUAUAUGUAUUCUUUCUCUGUAAACAACACAUGGUUAUAUUCGUAUCACAUGAAAGAUCUUCAUCUAUCCUAUAUCAGAGUGUAUGGGAUUGCUUUUGGGUUUA